GGAGGAAAGCAGGGGAUCGUAAGACCUUGCGCUUUUGGAGUGGCCGAUGCCUGAUUAGCUAGUUGGUGGGGUAAGAGCCUACCAAGGCGACGAUCAGUAGUUGGUCUGAGAGGACGACCAGCCACACUGGGACUGAGACACGGCCCAGACUCCUACGGGAGGCAGCAGUGGGGAAUUUUGGACAAUGGGCGAAAGCCUGAUCCAGCAAUGCCGCGUGAGUGAAGAAGGCCUUCGGGUUGUAAAGCUCUUUCAGUCGAGAAGAAAAGGUUGCGACUAAUAAUCGCAACUUAUGACGGUAUCGACAGAAGAAGCACCGGCUAACUACGUGCCAGCAGCCGCGGUAAUACGUAGGGUGCGAGCGUUAAUCGGAAUUACUGGGCGUAAAGGGUGCGCAGGCGGCUCUGUAAGUCAGAUGUGAAAUCCCCGGGC
rnacentral:rRNA from 1 species